AUUCCUUUAGUAUAAAAAGUAUAUUUAACUUCCAAUUAAAAGGUUUAUUCUAUAAAAGGAAUA
rnacentral:tRNA from 1 species